rnacentral:tRNA from 1 species
GCCGGGAUGGCGGAAUCGGUAGACGCAACAGACUUAAAAUCUGUCGGGGGAGACCCCGUGCGGGUUCAAGUCCCGCUCUCGGCACCA